rnacentral:rRNA from 1 species
UGCAAGUCGAGCGGUACAUUUCUAGCUUGCUAGAAGAUGACGAGCGGCGGACGGGUGAGUAAUGCUUGGGAACAUGCCUUUAGGUGGGGGACAACCAUUGGAAACGAUGGCUAAUACCGCAUAAUGUCUACGGACCAAAGGGGGCUUCGGCUCUCGCCUUUAGAUUGGCCCAAGUGGGAUUAGCUAGUUGGUGAGGUAACGGCUCACCAAGGCGACGAUCCCUAGCUGGUUUGAGAGGAUGAUCAGCCACACUGGAACUGAGACACGGUCCAGACUCCUACGGGAGGCAGCAGUGGGGAAUAUUGCACAAUGGGCGCAAGCCUGAUGCAGCCAUGCCGCGUGUGUGAAGAAGGCCUUCGGGUUGUAAAGCACUUUCAGUCAGGAGGAAAGGUUAGUAGUUAAUACCUGCUAGCUGUGACGUUACUGACAGAAGAAGCACCGGCUAACUCCGUGCCAGCAGCCGCGGUAAUACGGAGGGUGCGAGCGUUAAUCGGAAUUACUGGGCGUAAAGCGUACGCAGGCGGUUGAUUAAGCGAGAUGUGAAAGCCCCGGGCUUAACCUGGGAACUGCAUUUCGAACUGGUCAACUAGAGUGUGAUAGAGGGUGGUAGAAUUUCAGGUGUAGCGGUGAAAUGCGUAGAGAUCUGAAGGAAUACCGAUGGCGAAGGCAGCCACCUGGGUCAACACUGACGCUCAUGUACGAAAGCGUGGGGAGCAAACAGGAUUAGAUACCCUGGUAGUCCACGCCGUAAACGAUGUCUACUAGGAGCUGGGGUCUUCGGACAACUUUUCCAAAGCUAACGCAUUAAGUAGACCGCCUGGGGAGUACGGCCGCAAGGUUAAAACUCAAAUGAAUUGACGGGGGCCCGCACAAGCGGUGGAGCAUGUGGUUUAAUUCGAUGCAACGCGAAGAACCUUACCUACACUUGACAUACAGAGAACUUACCAGAGAUGGUUUGGUGCCUUCGGGAACUCUGAUACAGGUGCUGCAUGGCUGUCGUCAGCUCGUGUUGUGAAGAUGUUGGGUUAAGUCCCGCAACGAGCGCAACCCUUAUCCUUAGUUGCCAGC